GGAGUGACAUGGGACUCUUUAGGACUCUUCAGUCCAAUAGUUUUGGGUUUUGAAUCCCAGGUUCCAACAUUUCUUAACCUGUGGCCCUGAAAAUUGUUUCCUCAUGCAUAAAAAGUGAUUAACAGUUCCUUCCUCAUAGAGUUGAUGCAUGGAUUAAAUGAAAUAAUCCAUGAAAAAUAUGCUGCUUACAGAGGUGGCAUCCUAAGAGUUCCAUCAUUGGUAUUCAUACUAAGAACUCCUGUUUAGAAAAGUGACUUUAUAACAAUAUGAAGAUUGGAUCGAGGUAAGUGAAGAUGGACGUAUAUGGAAGUAUUAGGAGCUAUAGUAAUCAAAUCCGAACUAAGAAAGAGAGCAAACUAUUGCAAGAGAACAGAAUGCUCCCUAGAUAAUUCUACUUUUCAGAAAUACAAUCAAAAGGACCCAAUAAUAUAUUGGAAAUGGGAUUUAAAAAAGCAGGAAAAUUUUAAGUAGUUAUUUUUUUAACCAAAUAAAUAUUUAUUUUUAAAUAAAUGUUUUAUUAUGGUAAAAUACACAUAACAAAAUUUACCAAUUAACCAUUUCUAAGUAUACAGUCCAGUGGUAUUAAAUACAUUCAUAAUAUCAUAUAA